rnacentral:rRNA from 1 species
ACGAACGCUGGCGGCGUGGAUAAGACAUGCAAGUCGAACGAGAGAAUUGCUAGCUUGCUAAUAAUUCUCUAGUGGCGCACGGGUGAGUAACACGUGAGUAACCUGCCCCCGAGAGCGGGAUAGCCCUGGGAAACUGGGAUUAAUACCGCAUAGUAUCGAAAGAUUAAAGCAGCAAUGCGCUUGGGGAUGGGCUCGCGGCCUAUUAGUUAGUUGGUGAGGUAACGGCUCACCAAGGCGAUGACGGGUAGCCGGUCUGAGAGGAUGUCCGGCCACACUGGAACUGAGACACGGUCCAGACACCUACGAGUGGCAGCAGUCGAGAAUCAUUCACAAUGGGGGAAACCCUGAUGGUGCGACGCCGCGUGGGGGAAUGAAGGUCUUCGGAUUGUAAACCCCUGUCAUGUGGGAGCAAAUUAAAAAGAUAGUACCACAAGAGGAAGAGACGGCUAACUCUGUGCCAGCAGCCGCGGUAAUACAGAGGUCUCAAGCGUUGUUCGGAAUCACUGGGCGUAAAGCGUGCGUAGGCUGUUUCGUAAGUCGUGUGUGAAAGGCGCGGGCUCAACCCGCGGACGGCACAUGAUACUGCGAGACUAGAGUAAUGGAGGGGGAACCGGAAUUCUCGGUGUAGCAGUGAAAUGCGUAGAUAUCGAGAGGAACACUCGUGGCGAAGGCGGGUUCCUGGACAUUAACUGACGCUGAGGCACGAAGGCCAGGGGAGCGAAAGGGAUUAGAUACCCCUGUAGUCCUGGCAGUAAACGGUGCACGCUUGGUGUGCGGGGAAUCGACCCCCUGCGUGCCGGAGCUAACGCGUUAAGCGUGCCGCCUGGGGAGUACGGUCGCAAGAUUAAAACUCAAAGAAAUUGACGGGGACCCGCACAAGCGGUGGAGUAUGUGGCUUAAUUCGAUGCAACGCGAAGAACCUUACCUGGGCUUGACAUGUAAUGAACAACAUGUGAAAGCAUGCGACUCUUCGGAGGCGUUACACAGGUGCUGCAUGGCCGUCGUCAGCUCGUGUCGUGAGAUGUUUGGUUAAGUCCAGCAACGAGCGCAACCCCUGUUGCCAGUUACCAGCACGUGAAGGUGGGGACUCUGGCGAGACUGCCCAGAUCAACUGGGAGGAAGGUGGGGACGACGUCAGGUCAGUAUGGCCCUUAUGCCCAGGGCUGCACACGUACUACAAUGCCCAGUACAGAGGGGGCCGAAGCCGCGAGGCGGAGGAAAUCCUAAAAACUGGGCCCAGUUCGGACUGUAGGCUGCAACCCGCCUACACGAAGCCGGAAUCGCUAGUAAUGGCGCAUCAGCUACGGCGCCGUGAAUACGUUCCCGGGUCUUGUACACACCGCCCGUCACAUCAUGGAAGCCGGUCGCACCCGAAGUAUCUGAAGCCAACCGCAAGGAGGCAGGGUCCUAAGGUGAGACUGGUAACUGGGAUG